UACAGAGGUCUCAAGCGUUGUUCGGAUUCAUUGGGCGUAAAGGGCGCGUAGGCGGCUUGGCAAGUGGAAGGUGAAAUCCCUCGGCUUAACCGAGGAACUGCCCUCCAAACUGCUUUGCUUGAGGCCGGGAGAGGUGAGUGGAAUUCCCAGUGUAGCGGUGAAAUGCGUAGAUAUUGGGAGGAACACCAGUGGCGAAGGCGGCUCACUGGACCGGUUCUGACGCUGAGGCGCGAAAGCGUGGGGAGCAAACGGG
rnacentral:rRNA from 1 species